ACGAACGCUGGCGGCGUGCUUAACACAUGCAAGUCGAGCGACAGUGUUCUUCGGAACAUAUGGAGCGGCGAACGGGUGAGUAACACGUGGGCAACCUGCCCUCAGCUCUGGGACAGCUCCGGGAAACCGGGGCUAAUACCGGAUACGACCACUCCUGGCAUCUGGGGUGGUGGAAAGUUUUUCGGCUGAGGAUGGGCCCGCGGCCUAUCAGCUUGUUGGUGGGGUAAUGGCCUACCAAGGCGACGACGGGUAGCCGGCCUGAGAGGGCGAACGGCCACACUGGGACUGAGACACGGCCCAGACUCCGACGGGAGGCAGCAGUGGGGAAUAUUGCGCAAGGGGCGGAAGCCUGACGCAGCGACGCCGCGUGAGGGAUGACGGCCGUCGGGUUGUAAACCGCUUUCAGCAGGGACAAAGCGCAAGUGACGGUACCUGCAGAAGAAGCACCGGCCAACUACGU
rnacentral:rRNA from 1 species